UUUUGUUUUUCUACACGAGACCUCAAAACUACGCUCACAGCGGCUACAUGCCAAUUGCCAGAAGUCAUGAAACGCCUGUUGCUGCUCCACAAGUUGACCCGAACUUCACCAGAAGUAUAUCUGAUAGCGGACCAGGGCUCAGAAUUUGUGAACCAUUUAUCUCCCAUCCCGGAGAAGUUAGACAGAUUCCCAUUGAGGUCAAGGAUGAGCCCGGCCCCACUACAUAAUCAGAACGUUCCUGACAUGCUCCUAGAAUCGAGGAUGUCACAGAGACUGCAACAGAAAAUGUCCCAGAGACCAAGUGCUCCACAAGCAGUCUCUCUAGUCUCUAUCUUUAAAGACUGCCGAGCAAGAGAAAGCUUUACGCCAACAAGGAACUGAAGUGGAACGCAUCAGAACGGAAGGUUCUAAUCACUUAUACUCAUGAUUGUUGCUUCCUUUUCAGUUUACUAACCGAUCUCCAUUUAAAAAUUUCAUGUUUUUAUACACGAGAUCUAUAGACUGCAACUCGCAGCCCAAUACAAGACCCAAAGACUGCAGCUCACAUCUCAGCACUAGUUGGAAGUUGGGAGCUCAUCAAUUCCAGAUGAAGUUGAAGAAGCAGAAGAACAACCUCUGGUUUGAAACAGUAGUCGACUUAUGUCCUCUCAAUCUAUUGAUUCUGCUGAAGACAUUGAAGAAGUACACCUAAACUUACUCUCCAGUUUCUGCAAAGAAAAAAAAAAAUAAAUAAAUAUCAGGGAAGAUUUAGUUAUUAAUGAUUGAGAUGUGAGCUGCAGUCUUCGGGUCAUGUGUAAAAAAUCCGAAACUAUAAAACGGAAGCGGUUGGUAAACUGAAAAGAAUAUAAGAUUUACUAAGGACUUCUCUAUUAAAUUUUUACACGAAAAGAAUAUAAUUUUACACGAGACCAGAAGGCUGCAGCUCACAGCCCAGCACUAGGUGGUUAUGUUCUUGAGUCUUACUACUUUUUAAAUUUACCACGGACUUCUCUAUUAAAAUUUUCAUUUUACCUACACGGGGCCCAACACUACAGCUGAUCACAGCCCAGAUGUAGUCAGGUAUGUUUUACUUUUUUUUUUCAGUGUUACUAACCUACUUUGAUUUUGACGUACAAGUUAUUUUUACAUCAUUUCUGUUUAAAAGUUUCAUUUUUUCUUAAACGAGACUUAACCCUACAGCUUAUCACAGCCCAGAAGUAGUUGGUAUGUUCUACUUUUGUUUUCAAGUACAAAUUUUUCUACACGAGAUCCCAUGACUGCAACUCGCAGCCCCGCACUAGGCAGCUAUGUUUUCGAAGAUGAAAUCUUUUUUUUACAUGAGAUCCUGAAAUUACAGUUCACUGCUGCAAUGUGUUGGGAUCUAAGCACAUGUCAGGUAUAGUCUUGAAUAAUACUUUAUAUUUAGUUUACCAACCGAUUUUCGUUUUAACAUCAGUGUAACACAUGUCAGGUAUGUUCAAGGAUCUUUUAUUAUCUUUUCCGUUUGCCAACCGACUAUCGUUUGAAAGUUUCUGUUUUUCUACACCUGACCCGAAUAAUGCAGUUCACAGCCCGACAUCAGACAUGCAUGUUCUCAAAUUUGCUUCUUUUUUACUGACUAACUUUCUAUACAAAAUCUCAUAUUAUUUUACACGAGACCCCAAAAC